CCUACGGGAGGCAGCAGUGGGGAAUCUUGUGCAAUGGGCGAAAGCCUGACACAGCAACGCCGCGUGCGGGAAGAAGGCCUUCGGGUCGUAAACCGCUUUCAGCAGGAACGAAAAUGACGGUACCUGCAGAAGAAGGUGCGGCCAACUACGUGCCAGCAGCCGCGGUGACACGUAGGCACCAAGCGUUGUCCGGAUUUAUUGGGCGUAAAGAGCUCGUAGGCGGUUCAGCAAGUCGGGUGUGAAAACUCUGGGCUUAACCCAGAGCCUGCACUCGAAACUGCUGUGACUAGAGUUCGGUAGGGGAGCGGGGAAUUCCUGGUGUAGCGGUGAAAUGCGCAGAUAUCAGGAGGAACACCGGUGGCGAAGGCGCCGCUCUGGGCCGAAACUGACGCUGAGGAGCGAAAGCGUGGGUAGCAAACAGGAUUAGAUACCCUGGUAGUCCGCGCCGUAAACGGUGGGCACUAGCUGUGAGGACCUUCCACGGUCUUCGCGACGCAGCAAACGCAUUAAGUGCCCCGCCUGGGGAGUACGAUCGCAAGAUUAAAACUCAAAGGAAUUGACGG
rnacentral:rRNA from 1 species